UACGUAGGGGGCAAGCGUUGUCCGGAUUUACUGGGCGUAAAGAGCGUGUAGGCGGCCAUACAGGUCCGUUGUGAAAACUGGAGGCUCAACCUCCAGCUGUCGACGGAAACCGUGUGGCUAGAGUCCGGAAGAGGAGAGUGGAAUUCCUGGUGUAGCGGUGAAAUGCGCAGAUAUCAGGAGGAACACCGGUGGCGAAGGCGGGUCUCUGGGCCGAUACUGACGCUGAGGAGCGAAAGCGUGGGGAGCGAACAGG
rnacentral:rRNA from 1 species